CCAUUCAGGAGUGGAGAAGGACUUUAAUGGUUUGGGGGAUGGUGAAGGGAAGUGAGAUGGGUUUAUUGAUCUUUCUCAGUUUAGUUUGGCAGUCAUACGUGAGGGCCAUCCACGUUUGCUCUCUCUGCAGCUGAUGGGUGAUACGAUGAAGUUGAGACACAAGGUAUGGAUCAUCUUGACCUUUGUGCAGCAAUCAUCUGGUUUGAAUAUCAGAUGAGUUUGAUCUUGAAAAGCAUCAACUACACUCAAAACGUAAUCUCUAGGGCUCUGAGAUCUCUCCUUCCCUUGUGCCUUCUACUUCCCUUGUUCCCCCACUGACUUCUUUGGAUGCAUCCUGUCUCCAUCCAUCUGAAUGUCAGAGACCUCACUACUUAAAGGUCUUUGAGUAGUCGAAUCCCACCAUUGUGAGUUUUUUCCAUUGGCUGAUGGUCUCUGUAAUUCCAGUCUCCAUUGCUGCAUGUUAGGUAAUCUGCGAACAUCUGGAUCCCUGUGGCUCAUCUUUCUGUUGUCCUGGGUAUCGCCACUACUGCAUUCCUACAAUGGGAGUGGUGAAGAGGAGAGGUGCUGUGUGGGCCACCUUGGGAAUGGGAAGAGCAUUUCAGAUGAGCGGAGUAGUACAGAGAAGAAGCACAAGACAGACUUCUUACAAGAACAACAGUAAUUCUCUGGAGUUACUUGUCCCAGGUAAUAACGGCCACAGCAUCUGACACUAGAAAUGGCAAAUAGCAAAUGAGCGAACAAUGUGGCAGUUAGGCAGAGCAAGUUGUCGUGCAGGACACUGACAUUGAACAGUGCAAUACCAACUGUUGGCACUGUUUGUCUUCCAUUUCAUUUUCUUGCAGAUGGCAAAGAGGAACCUGGUGACUGCAGGAUCAUCCCUCAUAGCUGAUGCUGUUGGAGGGGUUUUUUUUCUACUGAGGAUAACUCUUGGCCUUCUGAAAGUUAAGUUGAGGGACCAAGGCUGAGGUGGAUCUGGGAAGAGGGGAGAAGGUUGGGGAUGGCAGGGAGGGAUUUUAAAGGUAACAUAGGGGAGAGGGCUGUGCAGGGAGAGUCCUAUUUGGGCAGGCAAAGGCAGAGGGGCCUGCUUCUCAGCCCAAAACUAGCAUGGGCAGGGCAGUUCUAGCCUGUGUCCGUUGUCGUCUAGUUUCUGCAGUCUGUGUGCCACAUCUUAAUUUUUCUGCAGGUCUUGAUGUCCUCUUUGCACUCAAGGCAUGCUGGACGUGCCUUGGGCACCAUGUCUAGGGUUCCGAAUGCUUGUACUCAAUGUAGUGUCGAUCGGGCACUGCUCUUCUUGCAUUGCAAUCCUAAAGCGUGGAUCGGUCUUGCGUUUUGGAAGUUUGCAGUCAGAUGUCUCUUGUGCUGCAGCCUUGCAGCAUGUGUCGGCAUCCACGUUCGUUAGUCAUCUGUUUUCUUGGAUCCCUGUUCUCGGACUUGUUCCGUGCAUCCUCUGCACCUCUAGGUCUUUCAACGGGGCUUCCUGCCCGUGUCUGUCAUCUAGGUUCUGUAGUCUGUGUGGCAUGUCUUCAGUUUUCUGCAGGUCUUGAUGUCUUCUUUGCCCUCAAGGCAUGCUGGACAUGCCUUGGGCACCAUGUCUAGGAUCCCAAAUGCUUGUACUCAUCAAUGCGGUCUCGAUUGGGCACCGCUACUCUUGCAUCGCGACCCUAAAGCGUGGAUCGGUCUUGUUUUGGACGCUUCUGUUCAGUUGUCUCUUUUGCUGCGGCCUUGCAGCCUGCGUCGGCGUCCACGAUUGUUAGUCACGCAUUUUCUUGGAUCCCUGUUCUGGGACUUGUUCCAUGCAUCCUCUGCAUCUUUAGGUCUUUAAAUGGGGCUUCUUGCUCCUUCAUUCUCCCAGUUGCGGCUGUAUCUCUUUGUAAUCAGCCACGGUCCUUCACUUUUCCAGGGCUGCCAUAGAUUCUUCUUUGUAGUCCUGUACAACAUCUUGUCCAAUGGCAUGUCUGAUCCAGGAAUCAUUCUUCAUACAGCGAGUUCUUUUGUCCCUGGUUCAUGACAUCGGUCUUGUGUGCAGUAUUGUUCUGUGUUUCGUGUCUGGCUGGAGCUGCUCUGCCCGAUGCAUGGAGGUGGUAAGAGCGAGUAGAGGUAGAAGGGCAAGAUUCUGUGGUUAAUAUGCUGAUAUGCCUAAACCUUUCAGUUUAGGGGCAUACCAUACGUUGCAGAAGAAGUAGCCCUAGGUGCAGUGGGUGAGGAGAGCAGUUUCUGCUUGGCUGUGCAGCCACAGAGGAGAUGACCAAAAGUGUGCGGGAGAAUCCAGUGGAGUGGUAACGGAGCAGUUUAAAUUCAAAGGGAUUGGGACGUAAUGUUUGGGUUUGGUUGUUGACUUGUGCUUGGCUGUAGUGUGCAGUAGAGAUGGUAUUGCUAAAUGGAAGUGAGAGGUCUGGAACCGUUAAGGUGUCACUGAAUGUCUGAGUGACUACUUUGAUAUUGUGUUUUUCAGAUGCAGAGGGACAACUGGUGUACCAAAAGCUGCUGAUGGAGUUGCAGGUGGAGUGCCACAGGGAGGUGAGUCAGCUGUGGUGUCAUUGGGAAGUUGUGGCUGGUGGCAAUAUAAAUAGCUAAUCUACAUUUUCAGUUUGUGAUCUUAAAAGCAUCCCUUGCUGUCUGUAUAUUACAGGUGGAGACUAAGCCUCACCAUGGCAGCCUGAGAUGAUGGAUGCUGGGCAGGAGAGCGGUCAAGGAAACAUAGCAGGAGAUGGGUAUUGCUGGGGGCAGCCUCUGCUUUGUGUUAGUAUCUUAAGUACCUGUCUUCUUUUGCAGGUGCCACAUACAGCCUCAGAGGAGUUAAGCUUCAUGCUGAAAAAUGGUUUGAGAGGCGCUGUGCAGGCCACCUUUGCGAUGGGAAGA